rnacentral:rRNA from 1 species
UACGGAGGGUGCGAGCGUUGUCCGGAAUCACUGGGCGUAAAGGGCGCGUAGGCGGCUCAUGAAGGCUGUGGUGAAAGUCCGGGGCUCAACCUCGGAUCGGCCGUGGCGACUCGUGGGCUGGAGCACUGUAGAGGCGGGUGGAAUUCCGGGUGUAGCGGUGGAAUGCGUAGAGAUCGGGAGGAACACCAGAGGCGAAGGCGGCUAGCUGGACAGUUACUGACACUCAACUACGAAAGCGUGGGGAGCAAACAGG